GGCGCGUUCGUCUAGCGGCACCAGGACACCCGGUUUUCAGCCGGGGAGGCGGGGGUUCGAAUCCCCCACGCGUCACCA
rnacentral:tRNA from 2 species